AGCUCUGCCGGAGAGAGAAGGGAAGCCAUGGUGCUGAUGGUAUCGCAAUGAAAGCUACAUAAUAUAAUGUGAUGUAAUAAUAUAAUAAUAAUGUUGUCACGGUUUUCAGAAAGUUUCGCUUGGUGGCGACAUAAGUGUUCACUGGUGGCUGUGGCGAUGUGUCAGUGUGCAUUGUUAUGGCCUGUGUGUGUGUGUGUGUGUGUGUGUGUGUGUGUGUGUGUGUGUGUGUAGCUGUUUGUGUGACAAAGGCUCAUUCAUGCAGAAUACCUUGAUAUAUAUUUUCAUUUAUUGUUUAAUGCAGUAUGUCUGUUUGAGUAACUUUUGCUUAUUACUAUAUUGAUAACAGUAGAGUUUCUUUUGAAUUUGUGUUGUCAUUACAUUUCAAUGUUUUAUUUUCAUGAAGUAAAUCAUGGUUUGUCCUGUUCCUACAAAUGGUGAUACUGGUGUCGCCUCCAUGAGACACUUUGCCUGCAGAUGGUGCACACACCACCAAUUUAUGUGUCUGCCACACCCAUGUACAUGUGCUAGUGGUUGGAAUGCAAGCUUCUGUCGCCAGAGACAAAAGACCUGGUAGUUUGAGGCAGUGUUGAGCCAUUACUUGCAGCUGCAACUAGCCAGGCUAGAUGAAAACUGUGGUCUCUCAUAAAGCCCUCAACAGUCAGGUGACAGUGUGGGCUCUCCCGAGGCAAGUGUACACCGUGUGAAUGUACACACUCGAAAGCCACCGUGACUGACGCAUUGCCUGUCCGGCAGGUGGCGUCCCUCGUCAGGUGCCCGCACAGUGCCCCAUCACUGAGCAGCAGCUUGGGGGAGCAGUCCAGACACCACCACAGCCUCGCCCCAAGCCUGGUGACUGCUGUUAUUUGCUUCACAAUGUUGGUGUAGAAAAAUCAGGUUGCCGCAGGACAUCAUCAGCGAGCUCAGAAAGCAAGCAAAGGGAUUGAGGUAGCAGACCCUGAAGAGUCCACAGCAGCUGAAAACUCCAUUUCUCCAUAUGCAAGCCCUGAAGUGCAGGAGUUUAUCAGAGGACAGCAGUUCCAAUCUUCACCUUUGGCUAAGGCAAACUUCCAUCCAAGCAGGCUGGAGCAAACAAACUCACAGUUCUGAGGAAGAGCAGACACCACGUCGAAGGGAGAGACUCUGUGGCAUGCAUUUGAUGCAGUGACCGUCAGAGAAUCUCUCCAUUUUGACCCGGCCUCCGAUUCCAUCAUUGGUACGAAGGAUUUUGGAGACCGUGGCAAGAGUCUGAAGCAGGCAAACCAUGUACUUGUGUUCAUGGCUAAAGGGUUGGCCAGGAAGUGGAAAGUGGUUAGGUUAGGUUAGAUCAGGUUAUGUUAGGAUAGGUCAGGUCAGGUCAGAUAAGGUCAGGUUAGGAUUGCCUUAUUUUAAGCUCUCGUCUCCAUUCAAGUACAAACAACGAGCACUUCCGCGUUCCCCGCCCACAAACCCCUCUUCCCAACGAGUCCCCAAGGUCGCCGGGGGACGAGAGAAGAAGAGGCUGCAGAGUGAAGUGAUUCCACUGUGUUUUGUGCUCAAAAUCGUCCAUAACAUAAACAAUCAAUGACGGACAUCACAGUUUUGUAGUUUGCGGUUUGGUCGUACUGUAGCAAUUCAUCCUCCUCAGGCACGGGUUGGUUAGGUUAGGUUAUGCCUGCUUAGGAUAGGUGGCUUAGGGUAGGCUAGGUUAGCUUAGGUUAAAACCCUUCAGAGAGUCUCUUGGGGCCUUUAGCAGAGCUCGGCUCGGGGAACACGUCGCGUUCACCUCCCAGCCCCUCCACGCUGCCGCCAGUCAGCACGUGGCUCAAGACUCGUCGUCAGGAGCAGGACUAAACAGCCGAUCGUUUAAAGAAUCACAUCGUGCUCAUUUUUUCAAGUGUUGGGAUGAUGUGAGUUGUGCACUUUUGUUUGCUGGUCUCCCUGUGAAUUGCAUGUUUACAUUUUUGAUGAGUGCUUGCCUUCAAGUAGGAUCUGAUGCACUCAGUGUAAAUACAAGACUGAUUUUGUGACACCUGUGAGUGCUUUCAAGAACACUUAUCAGUCUACCACCAGACUGCAACACUGCCCGUGCUGGCGAGGUGCUGCUUAAACUGAGCGGCUGGGCAGUCAGGCGUGCAUUUUGCACUGGCCACACCGACGCAAAGCAUUACCGGUGUUCACCUGACAGCCGCAGGGUGUCCACGGACGUGACCAUGAGGACUGUCCACAGUAGGCCCAAUGACAAGCUGAGGAGUGAAUUUGCUUGCUCUGUGGAGAUUCAGGGGAACCACAAUUGUCCCCUUGGCCCUGCUGAUGCCCUCGGUGAACCAAGGGUGCCCUCAGCUACACCAGAGCUAUUUGAGAGCCAUUUGAACCAAAACCCUUAAGUUAUCAUUAUUAUUAUUAUUAUUAUUAUUAUUAUUAUUAUUAUUAUUAUUAUUAUCAUUAUUAUUAUUAUUAAUUCUUUUUAUUUAUCUGUUUGUUAUUUUCCGGUGAAAAGCAGCACUGGAUAGGGAUUGUGGGGGAGAGAAAGAGCAGGGUGAAGAUAGAGGUGUUUCAUUUCCUGAAUGUUUCAACAAGCUGCCUUCACGGGGAACAAAUUGUCGCCGAAGAAGACAGCUUGAAAAAAU